rnacentral:rRNA from 1 species
GGGAAUCUACCUUUUGCUACGGAAUAACUCAGGGAAACUUGUGCUAAUACCGUAUGUGCCCUUCGGGGGAAAGAUUUAUCGGCAAAGGAUGAGCCCGCGUUGGAUUAGCUAGUUGGUGGGGUAAAGGCCUACCAAGGCGACGAUCCAUAGCUGGUCUGAGAGGAUGAUCAGCCACACUGGGACUGAGACACGGCCCAGACUCCUACGGGAGGCAGCAGUGGGGAAUAUUGGACAAUGGGCGCAAGCCUGAUCCAGCCAUGCCGCGUGAGUGAUGACGGUCUUAGGAUUGUAAAGCUCUUUCACCGGUGAAGAUAAUGACGGUAACCGGAGAAGAAGCCCCGGCUAACUUCGUGCCAGCAGCCGCGGUAAUACGAAGGGGGCUAGCGUUGUUCGGAUUUACUGGGCGUAAAGCGCACGUAGGCGGACUUUUAAGUCAGGGGUGAAAUCCCGGGGCUCAACCCCGGAACUGCCUUUGAUACUGGAAGUCUUGAGUAUGGAAGAGGUGAGUGGAAUUCCGAGU